rnacentral:tRNA from 2 species
CGACUUAGCUCAGCUGGCAGAGCAGCUGAUUUGUAAUCAGCCGGUCGUUGGUUCAAAUCCGACAGUCG